AAUGAACGUUGGCGGCGUGGAUUAGGCAUGCGAGUCGUGCGAGAAUCGUAGCAAUACGAGGACAGCGGCGCAAGGGAGAGGAAUAAGUAGAAAUCUACCCUCGGGUCGGGGAUAGCGGCGGGAAACUGCCGGUAAUACCCGAUAACGUCUUUGGACCAAAGGUGUGAUUCCGUCUGAGGAUGAGUCUACUUCCUAUUAGCUAGUUGGCGGGGUAAUGGCCCACCAAGGCAACGAUGGGUAGCAGGUGUGAGAGCAUGACCUGCCUCAUUGGGACUGAGACACGGCCCAGACACCUACGGGUGGCUGCAGUCGAGAAUCGUCGGCAAUGGACGAAAGUCUGACCGAGCGACGCCGCGUGCGGGAUGAAGGCCUUCGGGUUGUAAACCGCUGUCGGAGGGGAACAAAUGUACGGGGGUUCUCCCCUGUAUUUGAGUGAACCUAGGAGGAAGGAGAGGCUAAGCUCGUGCCAGCAGCCGCGGUAACAC
rnacentral:rRNA from 1 species